AUUGAACGCUGGCGGCAGGCCUAACACAUGCAAGUCGAACGAGUGGCGGACGGGUGUGUAAUGUCUGGGAAACUGCCCGUUGUAGGGGGAUAACUACUGGAAACGGUAGCUCAUACCGCAUACCCUCGGAUGUGGCCAGAUGGGAUUAGCUAGUAGGUGGGGUAACGGCGCACCUAGGCGACGCUCCCUAGCUGGUCUGAGAGGAUGACCAGCCACACUGGAACUGAGACACGGUCCAGACGCCUACGGGAGGCAGCAGUGGGGAAUAUGGCACAAUGGGCGCAAGCCUGAUGCAGCCAUGCCGCGUGUAUGAAGAAGGCCUGCGGGUUGUAAAGUACUUUCAGCGAGGAGGCGUUACUCGCAGAAGAAGCACCGGCUAACUCCGUGCCAGCAGCCGCGGUAAUUC
rnacentral:rRNA from 1 species